rnacentral:rRNA from 1 species
GAUAAACGCUGGCGGCGCACAUAAGACAUGCAAGUUGAACGGACUUAAUCGAAAUAUUUAUAUUUUGAAGCGGUUAGUGGCGGACUGGUGAGUAACGCGUAAGGAACCUGCCUAUUAGAGGGGAAUAACAGUGAGAAAUCAUUGCUAAUACCGCAUAUGCCAUAGAUAUCACAUGAUAACAGUGGGAAAGGAGCAAUCCGCUAAUAGAUGGCCUUGCGUCUGAUUAGAUAGUUGGUGGGGUAACGGCCUACCAAGUCGACGAUCAGUAGCCGGACUGAGAGGUUGAACGGCCACAUUGGGACUGAGAUACGGCCCAGACUCCUACGGGAGGCAGCAGUCGGGAAUAUUGCGCAAUGGAGGAAACUCUGACGCAGUGACGCCGCGUAUAGGAAGAAGGUUUUCGGAUUGUAAACUAUUGUCGUUAGGGAAGAGAAAGGACAGUACCUAAGGAGGAAGCUCCGGCUAACUACGUG